rnacentral:rRNA from 1 species
AUGCCUAUGAACUACUCACUUGCUGUUGAACCAUUUGAUGUUUGGGGUUUUGAUUACAUGGGACCUUUUUGUUCCUCUAAUGGGCAUACACAUAUUUUGGUUGUUGUUUAUUAUGUUACUAAAUGGGUAGAAGCUAUUCCAACUAGUAGUGCUAAUCACAACACCUCUAUUAAAAUGCUUAAGGAAGUUAUUUUCCCAAGGUUUGGAGUCCCUAGAUAUUUAAGGACUGAUGGUGGUUCACACUUUAUUCAUGGUGCUUUUCGUAAAAUGCUUGCCAAGUAUGAUGUUAACCAUAGAAUUGCAUCACCUUAUCAUCCUCAGUCUAGUGGUCAAGUUGAACUUAGCAAUAGAGAAAUAAAAUUAAUUUUGCAAAAGACUGUUAAUAGGUCUGGGAAGAAUUGGUCUAAGAAAUUAGAUGAUGCACUUUGGGCUUAUAGAACAACAUAUAAAAAUCCUAUGGGUAUGUCUCCUUAUAAAAUGGUCUAUGGAAAGGCUUGUCAUUUGCCUCUUGAAAUAGAACAUAAAUCAUUUUGGGUAGUCAAAGAACUCAACUAUGAUUUCAAACUUGCUGGUGAAAAGAGGUUAUUUGAUAUUAGCUCAUUAGAUGAGUGGAGGACCCAAGCUUAUGAAAAUGCAAAAUUAUUCAAAGAGAAAGUUAAAAUAUGGCAUGACAAAAGAAUCGAAAAGCGUGAAUUUAAAGUUGGAGAAUAUGUUCUUUUGUACAACUCUCGUUUUAGAUUUUUUGCAGGAAAACUCCUCUCAAAAGGGGAAGGCCCAUAUGUUAUCGAGAGUUUUAUCAGUCUGGAGCCAUCAAAAUAA